rnacentral:rRNA from 1 species
UACGUAGGGGUCGAGCGUUGUCCGGAGUUACUGGGCGUAAAGCGCGCGCAGGCGGCGCGAUAAGACCGGCGUGAAAGCCCCCCGGCUCAACCGGGGGAGGGUCGUUGGUGACUGUCGCGCUUGAAGGCAGCAGGGGGUGAGUGGAAUUCCCGGUGUAGUGGUGAAAUGCGUAGAGAUCGGGAGGAACACCCGUGGCGAAGGCGGCUCACUGGGGCUGACCUUGACGCUGAGGCGCGAAGGCGUGGGGGAGCGAACGGGG